rnacentral:tRNA from 1 species
GGAGGUAUAGCUCAGUAGUAGAGUAUUCGACUGCAUAUCGGGAGGUUCCCGAUUCGAACCCGGGUGUCUCCU